rnacentral:rRNA from 1 species
AGGGGGCCAUCCCGGCUUACCAACCCGAUGCAAACUGCGAAUACCGGAGAAUGUUAUCACGGGAGACACACGGCGGGUGCUAACGUCCGUCGUGAAGAGGGAAACAACCCAGACCGCCAGCUAAGGUCCCAAAGUCAUGGUUAAGUGGGAAACGAUGUGGGAAGGCCCAGACAGCCAGGAUGUUGGCUUAGAAGCAGCCAUCAUUUAAAGAAAGCGUAAUAGCUCACUGGUCGAGUCGGCCUGCGCGGAAGAUGUAACGGGGCUAAACCAUGCACCGAAGCUGCGGCAGCGACGCUGAUGCGUUGUUGGGUAGGGGAGCGUUCUGUAAGCCUGUGAAGGUGGCCUGUGAGGGUUGCUGGAGGUAUCAGAAGUGCGAAUGCUGACAUAAGUAACGAUAAAGCGGGUGAAAAGCCCGCUCGCCGGAAGACCAAGGGUUCCUGUCCAACGUUAAUCGGGGCAGGGUGAGUCGACCCCUAAGGCGAGGCCGAAAGGCGUAGUCGAUGGGAAACGGGUUAAUAUUCCCGUACUUGGUGUUACUGCGAAGGGGGGACGGAGAAGGCUAUGUUGGCCGGGCGACGGUUGUCCCGGUUUAAGCGUGUAGGUGUGUGUUCCAGGUAAAUCCGGUUCACUUUAACACUGAGGCGUGAUGACGAGGCACUACGGUGCUGAAGCAACAAAUGCCCUGCUUCCAGGAAAAGCCUCUAAGCAUCAGGUAACAUCAAAUCGUACCCCAAACCGACACAGGUGGUCAGGUAGAGAAUACCAAGGCGCUUGAGAGAACUCGGGUGAAGGAACUAGGCAAAAUGGUGCCGUAACUUCGGGAGAAGGCACGCUGACACGUAGGUGAAGUGAUUUACUCACGGAGCUGAAGUCAGUCGAAGAUACCAGCUGGCUGCAACUGUUUAUUAAAAACACAGCACUGUGCAAACACGAAAGUGGACGUAUACGGUGUGACGCCUGCCCGGUGCCGGAAGGUUAAUUGAUGGGGUCAGCGCAAGCGAAGCUCCUGAUCGAAGCCCCGGUAAACGGCGGCCGUAACUAUAACGGUCCUAAGGUAGCGAAAUUCCUUGUCGGGUAAGUUCCGACCUGCACGAAUGGCGUAAUGAUGGCCAGGCUGUCUCCACCCGAGACUCAGUGAAAUUGAACUCGCUGUGAAGAUGCAGUGUACCCGCGGCAAGACGGAAAGACCCCGUGAACCUUUACUAUAGCUUGACACUGAACAUUGAGCCUUGAUGUGUAGGAUAGGUGGGAGGCUUUGAAGUGUGGACGCCAGUCUGCAUGGAGCCGACCUUGAAAUACCACCCUUUAAUGUUU